rnacentral:lncRNA from 1 species
AUGUCUGCUGCUGCAAGCCCGUGUGCUGCUGUGUGCCGGCCUGUCCCUGCUCUAGCUGUGGGUCCUGCGGGGGCUCCAAGGGCGGCUGUGGGUCCUGUGGGGGCUCCAAGGGAGGCUGUGGAUCUUGUGGGGGCUCUAAGGGAGGCUGUGGGUCCUGCGGGGGCUCCAAGGGGGGCUGUGGGUGCUGCGGGGGCUCCAAGGGGGGCUGUGGCUCCUGUGGGAGCUCCAAGGGGGGCUGUGGCUCCUGCGGGGGCUCCAAGGGGGGCUGUGGGUCCUGUGGGGGCUCCAAGGGGGGCUGUGGGUCAUCCUGCUGCCAGUCCUGCUGCUGCAAACCCUGCUGUUCCCAGUCUUGCUGCUGCAAACCCUGCUGCUGUGAGUCCUGCUGCUGCAAACCCUGCUGUUCCCAGUCCUGCUGCUGCAAACCCUGCUGCUGUGAGUCCUGCUGCUGCAAACCCUGCUGUUCCCAGUCCUGCUGCUGCAAACCCUGCUGCUCCCAGUCCUGCUGCUGCAAACCUUGCUGCUCCCAGUCCUGCUGCUGCAAACCCUGCUGUUCCCAGUCCAGCUGCUGUGUCCCUGUUUGCUGCCAGUGCAAAGUCUGAGAUGGUGACCAGAGGCCUCAAAAAGAGCCUCCUCUUCCUCACUCCAUCCCUCCUGGUCUCCAACACCUACAGCCUGAAAUUUCCUCCACGAACACUCUCCAGGUCCAGCCCAGGAGGUGACCCUCCGUGCCCGCGGGCUCCUACUGACUCUCACUCUUUGCCCUUUCCCUCAUGCUUCUCCCGAGCCAGCUGGGCAGCCAAGAUCAGAAGUAGGGGCACAAACUAUAUCUGAGGUUCUUAAGGUCCAGCUGGGCCUUCAAUCCCUUUAAAUAAAAUGUUCUGCACCCAGAAGCCUUGCUCUCAUUGUGGUUCUCUUCCUCACAUCUUUGUCAUUGUAUUCCACUUGUCCAUUUUCUUCCUUCGUGUUUAUGGAGCACCUGCUAUGUCCCAGGCUCUCCACUCUGCCCUGGAGACCCAGCAGACCCUUGUCCCAGGUUCCUGCUCCGGGAGGGCCUGGCUGACCCAGUUCUCCAAUAAGGUUGGUCCUGCUGUUUCUGCAUAUCCCAGGGGCUGAGGGUGGAGCACCAGACGUGGAGUGGGCACACAUCUGGGCAAGGUCCCAGGGCACAGGUGACAUGGGUGCAAUCCGAACCCCUCCAUCUGACUGCUUGUCCUGCUUGAAGCCAGGAUGGAAGGUUGAGCCAGUGCCAGGGGCUUCAAUUUAUUAAAGAUCGUGGGAGGGCAGAGGCGCCAGGGAGAGGGCACGCCCUCUGUCCUAGGAGGCAACAGAUGCACAUGUACACACACGCUGGGAGUGCACGGCUGGGGAGGUGGCUACAAGGCUGCAUGGGGUGCCUGCCUGGGGCUCGUGUCUGUCCCAGGCCUUUGGGGUGCACAGGUCAGGUUGCUGGUUCAUGCACAGGAGCGGGCACCUGCUCAGCCAGGAGGCAAGAAUUGGGGUGUGUGUCAGCUUCCUUCCUGGGCCCCCAAGCCCUGUUGGGUUUGGGGAAGGUCAGAUUCCUGGCCACUGUUGGAUCUAGGCCUGGACUGGCAGGGCUGGGGCAGCACCUCCCUGAGCCCUGGAGAGGAUCUGGGCUGGCCAGGGGCGACUCCUCCCAGCUGUUCUCCGGCAGGCUCAGCCCUCAGCCCCUGACCCCCAGACUGCCAGUUUCCUCAUGUCUUGGGGACCAGCUUUGGGCAUCAGAAAGGCUGCCUCUUUCUGUCCGGCUGUUCCCGACCAGCGGUGCCCAUUCUACUUGGACCUAACUUAGCAUCUCCCUUCACCUGAGAACUAUGACCAACCGGCCAUAGGGAGAUGUUUACACACUUUGUCCUAAAUGUAUCUUUAAAACCACAGGCAACCUGGUGAUUAGGGAAGUUCCCUUAAGCCACAGAGCCAGUAAGUCGCAGCUGGCAUCUAAAGCAAUGUCACUUUGUCCCCGGUCUGAUGCCGCCCAGCCUUGCUCGGAAGCCAGCUGACACACCCAGAGGGUGUAGAUGAUCUCAGAGCACCAGUUCUGCAAGAAUAUGCCCCCCCCACCCCCAAAGGAAAGAAAGACUGGAGGGCUCCAUGACAUCAUGGCCCCAGGUCCGGGGACAUGACCACCAAAGAGCCCAGUUUUUGCUGUGAGCUCCCUGGCAGCCAGGACUAAAAGGGGGAAGAGAAGCCACAUAGGCCUUAUCCCUUAGGAGAGAGAGCAGAGAGGUUUACAGAGUAUGACCUUCAUGUUGUGCUGGAGUGAAGAUCAUGUGGGGUGAUGGGCCCCAGAAUAGAGGGUGCCCUCCAGGGCAGAGACUGUCCAGGGCCACUUCAGUAAGAUUUAAGGGACCAAUUCACAGGCCUGAUUUGGAAGAGAAGAAUUUUUGCAAGUCUACGGCUUGAUGAACUCACGCAGGGGACAAUGGGUUUGAAGUUCACAUCCAGGGGGAGGAUCACUGGUCUGGCACAGAGCAAAGAUGUGAUGUACCCAUUCCCGAGUGAGAUGCUUAAUUUUAUGUGUCAGCUUGGCUGGGCCGCGGUGCCCAGAUAUUCAGUCAAACGUUAUUCUGGAUGCAUCUAUUUUUUGGAUGAGAUUGAUAUUUAAAUCUGUGGACUUUGAGUAAAAGCAGAUGAAGGUCCACAGUGUGGGUGGGCCUCAUCCAAUCAGUUGAAGGCCUGAGUAGAACAAAAGACUGACUUCCCCAAGCAAGAGGGAAUUUUGCCAGUGGACAGCCUGUGGGCUCCACCAGCGAUAUUGGCUCCUACUGGUUUGCCAGCAGGACGCCUUUGCACUCAACAUGUGACUCUUACCAGAGUCUGUGAGGCUGGUCUCCCGGCUCUGACUUUGGGCUCACAGAGCCUCCACAAUGUCACGAGCCAAUUCCUUAAAAUAAGUGUUUUUCUCUACCCACACAUCCUGUUGAUUCCGUUGCUCUGGAGAACGUGGCCCAACACACGGCCCGCUGGCUGCAGGGACGCUGCCCACAGACCCAUCUGGCUGUCCUGGGCCUCUUCAGUGUCAUCUAGGACAAGAGAGGCCACAGCUCAACUAGCCAGUGCCGGGAAAGAUGCCUGUCCCACGGGAAGACUCCGGCACUUCCCUUUGGCAGGUGCACACAUGUUUUGGGGCCAUGUGGCUUCCUGGGACACCCAGCCGCUGGGCCUGCCCCGGGAAGAUGCCCGGGAACUGCAGAGAGCCUGCGCUAGAGGCAUCAGCCUCAACAUCAAAGCUGCGGCGGG